AAAUCACCCAGGGGUCUUGUUAAAAUGCAGAUUCUGACACAAUAGGUCUAGAAAUUCUGAGUUUCUAACAAGCUCCCAGGUGACAUCAGUGCUGCU
ensembl:miRNA